rnacentral:lncRNA from 1 species
CCUUUCUCUCCCUCCCCCUCCCUCUCUCCAGAGAGCAAACUUCCCCUAGACAUAGGCACAUCACAUGGACCUUUUGGGAAUUUCGAUGUGAGUGCAUCAGCUUUGUUCCUCCAUAUACCCCACUGUAAAAGAAAAAAUGGAACGAGAGUGAGAGAGGGGGGAUUGACUAUUUUAAUUCUCAGCCUGAUGUUAGACAAGCCAAACCUUAAAAUAAACCCUAUCCUUCCUUCCCCUCUACUUUCUCUUUCUCUCUCUUCCUCCCUCACACUGUAUCCUUUCUUUCUUUCUCUCUCUUUCUCCCUCUCUUUCUAUAUCUCCAUCUCUAUUUAUUUCUCUCUCCUUCUCUCUCCUCCCUUUCUCUCUCCCUCUCUCCUCUGUAUUCUCUCUCUUUCUCCCCCUCUUUCUAUCUCUAUCUGUCUCUAUUUAUUUCUCUCUUCUCUCUCCUCCCUUUCUCUCUCCUCCCUUUCUCCCUCUCUCCUUCUCUGUAUUCUCUCUCUUUCUCCCUCUCUUUCUUAGCGCUAUCGGUCCUCUAUAUUAUUUCUCUCUCUUCGUCUCCUCUCCCUUUCUCUCUCCUCUCGUUUCUCUCUCCCUCUCCUCCUCUCGUAUCCUCUCUUUCUCCCUUUCUAUCUCUACUGUCUCUAUUUAUUUCUCUUCUUCUCUCUCUCCUCCCUUCUCUCUCCUCCCUUUCGUCUCGCCCCUCCUUCUCUGUCUUCUCUCUUUCUCCCUCUCUUUCUAUCUCUAUCUGUCUCUAUUUAUUUCUCUCUCUUCUCCUCUCCUCCCUUCUCUCUCCUCCCUUUCUCCUCCCUCUCUCCUUCUUUAUUCCCCUCUCUUCUCUUUCUCCCCUCCUCUUUUCUUAUCUUUGUCUCUAUUUAUUUCCUCUCUCUUCCUCUCCUCCCUUUCUCUCCCUCCCCCUCCUCCUCUCUUCUCUCCUUCUCUUCUCUUUCUACUCUAUUGUCCCUAGUUAUUUCUCUUCUUCGCUCUCGCUGCUCCAUCCCUUUCCUCUCUCCCCCUUUC